rnacentral:rRNA from 1 species
UACAGAGGUCUCAAGCGUUGUUCGGAUUCAUUGGGCGUAAAGGGUGCGUAGGCGGCUAAACAAGUCAGAGGUGAAAGCCUGGAGCUUAACUCCAGAACUGCCUUUGAAACUGUUUGGCUAGAGUGUCGGAGGGGAUAGCGGAAUUGCUAAUGUAGCGGUGAAAUGCGUAGAUAUUAGCAGGAACACCGGUGGCGAAGGCGGCUAUCUGGACGACAACUGACGCUGAGGCACGAAAGCGUGGGGAUCAAACAGG